UCUGGCCCCAGCAGCCGCGGUAAUUCCAGCUCUCAAAGUGUAUAUCGUCAUUGCUGCGGUUAAAAAGCUCGUAGUUGGAUCUGCGCCUCAGGACUUGGUCCGCCCACUGGGCGAGAACUGGGCUCCUGGGCUAGUACUGCUGGUUUUCCCUACGUUGCCUUCAUCGGUCGCGUAGGGUGGCUAGCGAGUUUACUUUGAAAAAAUUAGAGUGCUUAACGCGGGCUUAUGUCUGAAUACUCGUGCAUGGAAUAAUAGAAUAGGAUCUCGGUUCUAUUUUGUUGGUUUUCUGAUCUGAGAUAAUGGUUAAGAGGGACGGACGGGGGCAUUCGUAUCGCUGCGUGAGAGGUGAAAUUCUUGGACCGUAGCGAGACGUCCGACUGCGAAAGCAUUUGCCAAGAAUGUCUUCAUUAAUCAAGAACGAAAGUCAGAGGUUCGAAGGCGAUCAGAUACCGCCCUAGUUCUGACCGUAAACGAUACCCACUAGCGUUCCGUCGGUGGUAAAUACGCCUUGACGGGCAGCUCCCCGGAAACGAAAGUCUUUCGGUUCCGGGGGAAGUAUGGUUGCAAAGCUGAAACUUAAAGAAAUUGACGGAAGGGCACCACCAGGAGUGGAGCCUGCGGCUUAAUU
rnacentral:rRNA from 1 species